rnacentral:rRNA from 1 species
CCUACGGGCGGCAGCAGUGGGGAAUAUUGCACAAUGGGGGAAACCCUGAUGCAGCGACGCCGCGUGAGUGAAGAAGUAUCUCGGUAUGUAAAGCUUCAUCAGUAGGGAAGAAAAUGACGGUACCUGUUUAAGAAGCCCCGGCUAACUACGUGCCAGCAGCCGCGGUAACACGUAGGGGGCAAGCGUUAUCCGGAUUUACGGGGGGUAAAGGGAGCGUAGGCGGGAUCACAAGUCGGGAGUGAAAUGCCGGGGCUUAACCCCAGAACUGCUGUGGAAACUGUGCAGCUAGAGUGCAGGAGAGGUAAGUGGAAUUCGUGGUGUAGCGGUGAAAUGCGUAGAUAUUAGGAAGAACGCCGAUGGCGAAGGCAGCUUACUGGACUGUAACUGACGUUGAGGCUCGAAAGCGUGGGGAGCAAACAGGAUUAGAUACCCCUGUAGUC